rnacentral:rRNA from 1 species
UACGUAGGGGGGCAAGCGUUGUCCGGAAUCAUUGGGCGUAAAGCGCGCGUAGGCGGCCCUGUAAGUCCGUUGUGAAAGUCAAAGGCUCAACCUUUGAAAGCCGAUGGAUACUGCAGGGCUAGAGUUCGGAAGAGGCGAGUGGAAUUCCUGGUGUAGCGGUGGAAUGCGCAGAUAUCAGGAGGAACACCAAUGGCGAAGGCAGCUCGCUGGAACGGUACUGACGCUGAGGCGCGAAAGCCAGGGGAGCGAACGGGG